UCAAACGAAGCGCUCAAAAAAUAUCGCCGGUGCAGUUCCGGGCACGGGCGGAAAGGCGCACCCACUCGUCGAGACAAAGACGACCCCGCCCCCCCGUGCGCGAGGCCAGUCAGUCAGGCGAGGCCACUACCCCUCGCCCGCGGCGACGAUGCCCUUCUUCUCCGGCGGCGGUGGGGGCCGCUCCGGCGCGCUCCUCCCCACCACCUCCAAGCCCAAGGCGCACCACCACCUCCGCUCCAAGUCCUCCCUCUCCGCGCCCGCCUCCUCCCGCCGCCGCGGGGGGGCCCACCCCGCCUCCUCCCCCUACUCCCGCCGCGCCCUCUGCCUCGCCGCGGCCGCCUUCGCCGCGCUCUUCGUCCUCGCCUUCCUCCGCCUCGGCUUCCCCUCCUCCUCCCGCCCCGCCGCGCGCGCGCCCCACGCCCGCCCCCGCGCGCGCCUCACCCGCAGGCCGGCCUUCCGCCUCCGCGACUCGGCCGCCGCAGAGGCCGCGGCGGCCGCCGUCGCCGCGCGGAUCGGGCGUGAGGCGCCCGUCGACAUCACCACGAGGGACCUCUACGACCGGAUCCAGUUCCUCGACGCCGACGGCGGCGCGUGGAAGCAGGGGUGGGAGGUCAAGUACCGCGGCGACGAGUGGGACGGGGAGAAGCUCAAGGUCUUCGUCGCGCCGCACUCGCACAACGACCCCGGCUGGAUCCGCACCGUCGAGGAGUACUACGACCGUCAGUCGCGCCACAUCCUAGACACCAUCGUCGAGUCCCUCUCCAAGGAUUCGCGAAGGAAGUUCAUAUGGGAGGAGAUGUCGUACUUGGAGAGGUGGUGGCGCGACGCCCCGCGGAAGAAGCAGGAGGCGUUCGCUAAGCUUGUCCGUGACGGGCAGCUUGAGAUCGUCAGCGGCGGCUGGGUCAUGAAUGAUGAGGCAAACUCCCACUACUUUGCCAUCAUAGAACAGAUGAUGGAGGGGAACAUGUGGCUCAAUGAUACUAUUGGAGUUGUUCCUAAAAAUUCUUGGUCAAUCGACCCAUUUGGUUAUUCAUCUACAAUGGCUUAUUUGCUUAGGAGAAUGGGUUUCCAUAACAUGUUAAUCCAGAGAACGCACUAUGAGCUGAAAAAGGAGCUUGCAAUGAAAAAGAAUCUUGAAUAUUUGUGGAGGCAGAACUGGGAUAUUGAAGAAACAACUGACAUCUUUGUUCAUAUGAUGCCCUUCUAUUCUUAUGAUAUUCCACAUACAUGUGGACCUGAACCAGCUAUCUGCUGCCAGUUUGAUUUUGCUCGAAUGCGUGGUUUCAGCUAUGAAUCCUGCCCAUGGAGAUUCGAUCCUGUUGAGACAGAUGCUGACAAUGUGCAAGAGAGAGCAACGAAACUUCUAGAUCAGUACAAGAAAAAGUCAACCCUGUACAGAACGAAUACACUUCUCAUUCCUUUGGGUGAUGAUUUCCGAUAUGUUAGUGUGGAUGAAGCAGAAGUACAAUUCCGUAAUUACGAGAAGCUUUUUGAUUACAUAAACUCUAAUCCCCAUCUUAAUGCUGAAGUCAAAUUUGGUACCCUGGAGGAUUACUUCUCCACACUGAGAGAUGAAGCUGAAAAGAUAAACUAUUCACGCCCAGGUGAAUUGGGUUCUGCUGAGUUGCAAGGUUUUCCAACACUUUCAGGAGAUUUCUUUACAUAUGCUGAUAGAAAUCAGGAUUACUGGAGUGGUUACUAUGUGUCAAGGCCAUUCUUCAAAGCUGUUGACCGUGUACUAGAACAAAUGCUCCGUGCCUCAGAGAUUCUGGGUUCAUUUGUUCUAGGGUACUGUCAGAAGUUUCAGUGUGCUAAACUCCCCAUCAGCUUCUCACACAAACUGACAGCAGCAAGGAGGAAUUUGGCGCUUUUUCAGCAUCAUGAUGGGGUAACUGGCACAGCUAAGGAUCAUGUUGUGGUGGACUAUGGCACUAGAAUGCACACUUCACUGCAAGAUCUACAGUUAUUUAUGUCCAGGGCGGUUGAAGUGCUUUUAGGAGAUUUCCAUGAUAGAUCUGACCCUACAUUGCUAUCGCAUUUUGAAACAGUGCAGGAACGUUCAAAGUAUGAUGUUCAGCCGGUGCAUAGGGUUCUUGACCCUCAUGAAGGGAAGGCACAAUCGAUUGUCUUUUUUAACCCAUUAGAACAAACAAGGGAUGAGAUUGUUAUGGUUGUUGUAAGUACUCUUGACGUUUCUGUUCUGAAUUCAAACGGUUCCUGUUUGCAAAGUCAAGUUUCCCCAGAGUGGAAGUUUGUCAGCGAUGAAAAGAUAUCCACAGGCCGGCACCGUCUUUAUUGGAGGGCUUCUGUUCCUGCACUAGGUUUGGAGACCUACUAUGUGGUUACUGGGCAGGAUUGUGAAAAGGCUAUUCCUGCUGUAGUAAAAACAUUCACAGCUUCACAGCAAUUUCCUUGCCCUGAACCUUAUGUUUGUUCAAAGCUGGAAGGCAAAACAGUGGAGAUGAAGAACUCUUAUUACACUCUUUCUUUUGAUGUAAGUCAUGGCCUCCUUCAGACAGUAACUGGUCACAAGGAUGGGGAACAAAUUGUCAUAGGUGAAGAAAUUGGCAUGUACAGAAGCCAUGGAAGCGGGGCAUACUUGUUCAAACCAAUUGGUGAAGCUCAUUCAAUUGUCGAGGAAGGAGGACAUUUCAUCCUUACUGAAGGGCCAUUGGUUCAAGAAGCCCAUUCUCUUCCAAAAACUGAAUGGCAUAAGUCACCUCUCUCACAUAGUACACGCAUUUACGAUUGUGGGGACUCUAUACAGGAUAUGCUGAUCGAGAAGGAAUACCAUGUUGAGCUUGUCGGCCAUGUUUUUAAUGAUAAGGAACUGAUUGUCAGGUACAAGACAAAUAUUGACAACCAAAGGAUCUUCUAUUCUGAUCUAAAUGGCUUUCAGAUGAGUAGGAGGCAGACAUAUGAUAAGAUUCCUCUACAGGGAAAUUAUUACCCAAUGCCAUCACUUGCCUUCUUGCAGGAUUCACUUGGUACUCGGUUUUCUGUACACUCCAAGCAGUCAUUAGGGGCAGCAAGCUUGAAAAAUGGAUGGUUAGAGAUUAUGUUGGAUCGUAGGCUGGUUCAGGAUGAUGGCCGUGGUCUGGGGCAGGGAGUAAUGGACAACCGGCCCAUGAAUGUUAUAUUCCAUCUCCUCAGGGAGUCCAAUGUCUCAGCUUUGCCUAAAACCCACAGUUUGCUUACUCUUCAACCAUCUCUCCUCUCGCACCGAGUUGGGGCGCAUCUGAACUACCCAAUGCAUGCUUUCAUGAGCAAAAAACCUCAUGAAAAAUCCUUCAAGCUGCCUCAACAGUCAUUCACUCCAUUAACUGCUUCUUUGCCCUGCGAUGUACAUAUUGUGAACCUAAAGGUCCCUCAGCCCCUAAGAUUUCCUCACGCUGAAGCAGCCAGCCAAAGAUUUGCCAUUCUGUUGCAGAGGAGAGGCUGGGACUCAUCAUAUUGCAAAAGGGGUGGAUUGCAUUGUACAACAGUUGGGGAAGAACCAGUUAAUCUGUUCUACAUGUUCAAAGAUCUCUCAGCUGUGAAUGUGAAGGCGACUUCGCUGAAUCUCUUACAUGAUGACCCUGAAAUGCUAGGGUACCUUGAGCAGAUUGGUGAUGUUGCUCAGGAGGGAAAUGUACUUAUCUCACCAAUGGAGAUUCAGGCGUACAAGUUAGACCUACAGCUACCAUCAUUACAGGAAGAGUAGUUUGCCUACAACUUAAACUGAAGUCUGAAGAUGGAUCUUCUUGAAACAGGUGAUAGUGGCAGCCAGAUUGUGCUGGAACACAUACAGUGCUGCAUGUAUAUGUGUUCAUACGUUGGUGAUUGAACCUCUUGAACUUCCUGACCAUUGCUGCUGAGGCAUUUGGUUACAGCCUUUCUGUUGACGAAGUAUGUAGAGAAGUAUUUUUGUACAUAAGCCGCAAGCUAGAAGGAGUCCGGAGCAGAUGCAUCCACGGGGUGAUUACUUCUUUGAAUAUUACUUUUACUUUUAAACAUUUUUGGCUGUCAGGAGAGGCAUACGGUUAUCAGAGAGGCACUCCUGCGAGCAAUGCUGCAUCGGAACAUGUCUUUGACAAUGAGCUUGUGCGACAGCAUGACCACAUUGUGGCGAAUGUUGUGGCAUUGCCUCUGUUUUUUGUGUGAUAUGUGAUCAGCCUCAUGUAACAUAUUAUUUUGAGUUUUAAAACAUAAACAAGUCACAUGUGUUUUUUAACAUAAAAGCAAGUCUGAUUCUUGGGGUGUUUUUUUCGGCUUUUUCUCUUGCGGUUGUAUUUCUGCAAGAGUUAGUUUCGCUCAUGUUAGACGUACAACAUCAACUGGCAAAAUCAUGCCUGCAUUGUUACUGUAACCGUAACUAAAAGUUUUUGUUACUUC